GCCGCCGCGGCGCCACCGGAGGCGCUGGGCUGGUGCGCGCCGGGCACCUGAGCCGGAAACCUCCCGGCGGCCGCGGCUCGCGCCCCGCCGCCCGCGGUCCCGUUGGCCCCUCCGCUGCUGCUGGAAGGUGCCUUGGUGUGGUAGGUGCUGCCAGCCGCGGAAUCGGUGAUGGACAGGUCGCUGGCCCCGCCCCCUCAUGCAGGGAGCGCGCCCCCCUCUCCAGCGCAGGGCCUACGCCGAUUGGAGGGACCGAGCCCCUCAGAGCGCCAACCAGAAGGCGGCCCCUCCUGCCGCACGUGGCCCUCGGACGCCGGACCGGACCGUGGGUCUACUUCACUUUUUUCCAGCUUGGGGCUGGGAGUGGCUCGGUCCUGUGUCCCGAGUCAUUUAGUUUGGGUGGGUGUCAACUUCCUCCUUGGUGUUACUCCGAGUGUGUCGUUUAAGUAAAACAGAAGCUCACCAAUGCUGAUGAUAAAAGACUGAAAACAAAAGAAAGAACCGAGGAGGCAGAAGCCAACUUGAUCUGAAUUAGAUCUAUCCCAUUUAAACACUCUGAGUGUGGAGAAAGCACGGAGUUGAUAGAACUAAGGAUAAUCCAGCCUGAUCUUCAGUUGUAGGGCAAAAACUGUGGCGCAGAGAAAGCACCCGAUUCGGGAGACCUGGGGUCUAGGUCUGGGACCAAAACUAAGUUACGUGUAAUAAGCAAAUUAUUUUACCUUUUUGAACUUUAGUUUUCUUACCUGGGAUCUUGGUAUCAAAUCUCGAGGGUACCUGCUGCUUUAAAAUCCUGUAAUUUCUCUAAAAUGGCAAUUAAUAAAAUUCUCACUCCAUUCGUAACUGUAA